AUAUUUAAGUUGUUGCAGUUAAAAAGCUCGUAGUUGAAACUUGGGCCUGGCUGGCAGGUCCGCCUCACCGCGUGUACUUGUCCGGCCGGGCCUUUCCUUCUGGAGAACCUCAUGCCCUUCACUGGGUGUGUUGGGGAACCAGGACUUUUACUUUGAAAAAAUUAGAGUGUUCAAAGCAGGCCUUUGCUCGAAUACGUUAGCAUGGAAUAAUAGAAUAGGACGUGCGGUCCUAUUUUGUUGGUUUCUAGGACCGCCGUAAUGAUUAAUAGGGACAGUCGGGGUCAUCAGUAUUCAAUUGUCA
rnacentral:rRNA from 1 species